UACGUAGGGGGCAGGCGUUGUCCGGAUUUAUUGGGCGUAAAGAGCGUGUAGGCGGCCGUACAGGUCAGCUGUGAAAACUCGAGGCUCAACCUCGAGACGUCGGUUGAAACCGUACGGCUAGAGUCCGGAAGAGGAGAGUGGAAUUCCCGGUGUAGCGGUGAAAUGCGCAGAUAUCAGGAGGAACACCGAUGGCGAAGGCAGGUCUCUGGGCAUUAACUGACGCUGAGGAGCGAAAGCAUGGGGAGCGAACAGG
rnacentral:rRNA from 1 species